UACGAAGGGGGCAAGCGUUGCUCGGAAUCACUGGGCGUAAAGCGCACGUAGGCGGGUCUUUAAGUCAGGGGUGAAAUCCUGGAGCUCAACUCCAGAACUGCCUUUGAUACUGAGGAUCUCGAGUCCGGGAGAGGUGAGUGGAACUCCGAGUGUAGAGGUGAAAUUCGUAGAUAUUCGGAAGAACACCAGUGGCGAAGGCGGCUCACUGGCCCGGUACUGACGCUGAGGUGCGAAAGCGUGGGGAGCAAACAGG
rnacentral:rRNA from 1 species